rnacentral:rRNA from 1 species
AGAACGAACGCUGGCGGCAUGCCUAACACAUGCAAGUCGAACGCGUGUAGCAAUACACGAGUGGCGCACGGGUGAGUAACGCGUGGGAACCUGCCCUGGAGUGGGGGGAUAACCGAGGGAAACCUCGGCUAAUACCGCAUACGUCCUGAGGGAGAAAGAUUUAUCGCUCCAGGAGGGGCCCGCGUCGGAUUAGCUUGUUGGCGGGGUAACGGCCCACCAAGGCUAUGAUCCGUAGCUGGUCUGAGAGGAUGAUCAGCCACACUGGGACUGAGACACGGCCCAGACUCCUACGGGAGGCAGCAGUGGGGAAUAUUGGACAAUGGGCGCAAGCCUGAUCCAGCAAUGCCGCGUGAGUGAUGAAGGCCUUAGGGUUGUAAAGCUCUUUCGGCGGGACGAUGAUGACGGUACCCGCAGAAGAAGCCCCGGCUAACUCGUGCCAGCAGCCGC